rnacentral:rRNA from 1 species
CAGCUCAAAUUUGAAAUCUGGCCUUCUGGUCCGAAUUGUAAUUUGUAGAGGAUGCUUUUGGCGCGGUGCCUUCCGAGUUCCCUGGAACGGGACGCCUUAGAGGGUGAGAGCCCCGUACGGUCGGACGCCUAGCCUCUGUAAAGCUCCUUCGACGAGUCGAGUAGUUUGGGAAUGCUGCUCUAAAUGGGAGGUAAAUUUCUUCUAAAGCUAAAUACCGGCCAGAGACCGAUAGCGCACAAGUAGAGUGAUCGAAAGAUGAAAAGCACUUUGAAAAGAGGGUUAAAUAGCACGUGAAAUUGUUGAAAGGGAAGCGUUUGCGACCAGACUUUUUCUGGGAGGAUCAUCCGGCGUUCUCGCCGGUGCACUUCACCCAGUCAAGGCCAGCAUCGGUUUUCGGAGGGGGAUAAAAGCUUAGGGAACGUGGCUCCCCCGGGAGUGUUAUAGCCCUCUGCAUAAUACCCCUCUGUGGACCGAGGAACGCGCUCUGCAAGGAUGCUGGCGUAAUGGUCGUCAACGACCCGUCUUGAAACACGGACCAAGGAGUCGAACAUUUGUGCGAGUGUUAGGGUGUCAAACCCCUACGCGUAAUGAAAGUGAACGGAGGUGAGAGCCCUCACGGGUGCAUCAUCGACCGAUCCUGAUGUUUUCGGAUGGAUUUGAGUAAGAGCAUAACUGUUCGGACCCGAAAGAUGGUGAACUAUGCGUGGAUAGGGUGAAGCCAGAGGAAACUCUGGUGGAGGCUCGCAGCGGUUCUGACGUGCAAAUCGAUCGUC